UACGGAGGGUGCAAGCGUUGUCCGGAAUCACUGGGCGUAAAGGGCGCGUAGGCGGUGCGGUAAGUCACCUGUGAAAUCUCCUGGCUCAACUGGGAGCUUGCAGGCGAAACUGCCGUGCUGGAGUGUGGGAGAGGUGCGUGGAAUUCCUGGUGUAGCGGUGAAAUGCGUAGAUAUCAGGAGGAACACCUGUGGCGAAAGCGGCGCACUGGACCACAACUGACGCUGAGGCGCGAAAGCUAGGGGGAGCAAACAGG
rnacentral:rRNA from 1 species